UUGACCUCGAAUCAGGUAGGAAUACCCGCUGAACUUAAGCAUAUCAAUAAGCGGAGGAAAAGAAACCAACAGG
rnacentral:rRNA from 1 species